ACCCCUCAAUUAGGAGUGCUAAACACGAUUUGAAGAUUCAAAUUUGGUCAAAAUUAUCAAGCCACACGUGUAGCUCUCUCCUCCCCGUGCGUGCUCACCGUGGCCAAAUUUGCCACGGCGCCGUUCGCGCACGCCACGACGCCGGUCGCACGAAGCUUCUUCCGUGCUCCACUUCUCCUCUCGCUGCCACAACGCGCCGUGCCGCUCUGCUCUUCUUCGCUCUCGCGCACGCACCGGCCGAGCUUGCCUACGCCGCCUGCCUGCGAGCGCUCGCCAGUCGCCACGCCCGCCAUGGCCAUGGCCGCCCCUCCACGCCGAGCCGCCGCUCGAGCCAGCGCCGACCCCCACCAACCCCCAAAUCCGUUUGCUCUCGUCCCAACGAAGAUCCCAGGCCCGGCCAUCACCUCCACGCCUCGCCGGAACGCCGCCACAGCGGCACAGUACCGCCGCCGGCCGCCGCCCGCCGUGGAACCGCCGCCACGGACCACCUCCUCGCGCUCUAAGACCACCCAGAGGUACGAUAGAUGAACCACGUGAAGGAUGUCACGUUGAAGCCAGGACAGAAGACGGUGAAUGGUGGACACGUCUAGAAGAUGGAUGGAUGGAUCCCGAUGUGCAUGAUCCCAAGGAAGGUACUUGCCAAGCGAGUAUCAUCUAACUAACACUGACUCAGUGUUCAUCCCAGGCAAGCCCCGGUAUAGAAGCUAACCAGGAUUCGCAUCAGUGGGCUCGAUGUGACGUCCUCACGUGUUCAUAGUUAUCAUUUCGUUUUAUUGGUUCUCAAUCAAAUUUCUUCCUCUCAGGUCAUAUUCUCAUCCGCUGCAGUCAUUUAAUUUAUGUAAAUUCUAAAUUUAAAGUGAUUGUGUAAAUAUAUAUGUUAUUAUCUAUUUUUGUGAAAUUAUAUUAUGCUGGUACCGUCUGUGCUCGCUGUCGCGCGAGA